rnacentral:rRNA from 1 species
AUACGGAGGGUGCAAGCGUUAUCCGGAAUCAUGGGGUUUAAAGGGUCCGUAGGCGGACUAUUAAGUCAGAGGUGAAAUCCCACAGCUCAACUGUGGAACUGCCUUUGAUACUGGUAGUCUUGAGUUAUAUGGAAGUAGAUAGAAUGUGUAGUGUAGCGGUGAAAUGCAUAGAUAUUACACAGAAUACCGAUUGCGAAGGCAGUCUACUACGUAUAUACUGACGCUAAGGGACGAAAGCGUGGGGAGCGAACAGGAUUAGAAACCCUUGUAGUCC